CCAACAGGGAUUGCCUCAGUAACGGCGAGUGAAGCGGCAAGAGCUCAGAUUUGAAAUCCGGCAUGCUAUGUGUGCCCGAGUUGUAAUACUGGAGAGAGGUCUUCGGCUUAGGCAUCGGUCAAGAUUCCUUGGAAUAGGAUGACACAGAGGGUGAGAAUCCCGUACCUGGCUGACCGCCAACGCCAUGUGAAGCUUCUUCGACGAGUCGAGUUGUUUGGGAAUGCAGCUCUAAAUGGGUGGUAAAUUCCAUCUAAAGCUAAAUAUCUGCGAGAGACCGAUAGCGCACAAGUAGAGUGAUCGAAAGAUGAAAAGCACUUUGAAAAGAGAGUUAAAAAGUACGUGAAAUUGUUGAAAGGGAAGCGCUU
rnacentral:rRNA from 1 species